CGCGACUGGGCCAUUCAUGAUGAGCGGGGCGUGGCGUUAACAGCGGCGGACGGGUGAGUAACGCGUGGGAACGUGCCUUCUGGUUCGGAAUAACUCAGGGAAACUUGAGCUAAUACCGGAUACGCCCUUUUGGGGAAAGGUUUACUGCCGGAAGAUCGGCCCGCGUCUGAUUAGCUAGUUGGUGGGGUAACGGCCUACCAAGGCGACGAUCAGUAGCUGGUCUGAGAGGAUGAUCAGCCACACUGGGACUGAGACACGGCCCAGACUCCUACGGGAGGCAGCAGUGGGGAAUAUUGGACAAUGGGCGCAAGCCUGAUCCAGCCAUGCCGCGUGAGUGAUGAAGGCCUUAGGGUUGUAAAGCUCUUUUAUCCGGGACGAUAAUGACGGUACCGGAGGAAUAAGCCCCGGCUAACUUCGUGCCAGCAGCCGCGGUAAU
rnacentral:rRNA from 1 species